rnacentral:rRNA from 1 species
CAGCAGCCGCGGUAAUACGAAUGGUGCAAGCGUUACUCGGAAUUACUGGGCGUAAAGCGUGCGUAGGUGGUGGUUUAAGUCCGUUGUGAAAGCCCUGGGCUCAACCUGGGAAUUGCAGUGGAUACUGGGUCACUAGAGUGUGGUAGAGGAUAGUGGAAUUUCCGGUGUAGCAGUGAAAUGCGUAGAGAUCGGAAGGAACAUCUGUGGCGAAGGCGACUAUCUGGGCCAACACUGACACUGAGGCACGAAAGCGUGGGGAGCAAACAGGAUUAGAUACCCCUGUAGUCCCUGUCUCUUAUAC